ACUCAAGCAUAGAGAGACUAAAAAAAAAAUUGUAACAUAAUAAAAAUAAAUUAAUUUCCAUUUAAAUUCCGAUUCCGAGUCUGCAUGUAAUAGAAUAAAGGCGCAAAUUUUAUUAUAUUUAACUAUAUAUUAAGGUAUGUUCUACACUAUCAUCUUACGACCUUAAUUAUAAACAUUUUGUUGCGGGUGUUUAGUUAAACACAGGUCUCUCUUUCUGUUAUCAUUGAUUUAACAUUCGUAAGAGAAAGACAGAGCAUUGUUUAUUAAACCCGACUCUUUUAUAGGUAAAGUCGUAUGUUAUUAAUUAAAAAGACAUUUUGUAGUGUUAAGGAACAGUAUGUGCACGAAGCGAAGUCCAGUAUUAAUAAGUUUACUUAUUUAAGUGUGAUAGUGUAUGUUUCAGUCGCUGGCAUUCCUUUAUUUAUCUUGAAGCAAAUUAAAUACCGAAUCAAACUUUUUCUAUAUUUGGAUAAAAUUUCGAACAUGUUAAAACUCUUAUCCAGACUUUUAAAAUAAUAUUUAAUUUAGCUUCUUCGUCGUUAAUUAAAAUUAUAUUAAUAACUGGUACCAAACGAAUAAUUUUCUGAACCAGAGUAUUUAUGGCUUUGCACGCAUUUUAGGUUUUAUUAGAAACAACGGUUAAUGUCGGUUCCAUUUAUUGGAAAUAGAUCUUUCGCUCACUUUUAUCUCUGAAGUACUUAUCUGUGUAUACAAUUUCAAUUGAUAAUAUUUUUAUCAUAAUAUUGUUAUAAUUUUAAAAUGUAAAAUCACUUAUUUUGUUUGUAAAUAUUUAUUUCAUUUUCAUCUAAGCUUAUACUAUAAUAUAAACAUUCCACAUAUAGUCGAUAAUAUGUAUUUAUGGAACCACCAACCCGUAGUAGAGCAGCAUAAUGAGAAAUGCUCUAAUCUAUCUCUUUAAGAGGAGAACGCCCUAUUAGUUUUACUUUUAUGGAAUGUUAUAAUGUUUUGCAAUUACAUUUCUAUUUAUUAUUCUGAGGAAUUACUGUAACAAAACUUUCUAAAUAUUAUGGUAUUUUAUGGUGUGUAUAUGGUAUAUAUGUUUAUGGUGGGUAUAUACAAUAACUGAUUUGAUACGUUAAAAAAAAAUACUGUACAAAUUCUUAAAUUAAGAAUUGCUUUGCAUACUUCAUCAAAAAUAUAAAUGAUGAUAAAUUUUAUUAUUAUUUCAAUAAAAUUAAAUGAAAGCAAAUUAAAUUUGCAUAUUAUUGUUUUGCGUUACAUUUCGAUUGUUUAAUUUUUAUUAUUUUAUGUCAUCGUUUGAUAUUUAAAACAUGUAUUUACCAUAAGAAUAUUUAAUUAAAAAAAAAAAAAAUAGUGUAAAAAUCAGUCAUAGAAUGUACACGUUUAGUACAAAAUCUGCUGUAAGAUUAUAAGUGUUUCUAAGUUUGAAGUUCAUAAUCUAAAAGCAAUAAUAAAGAGUGGUUAUGAAAACAUU